rnacentral:rRNA from 1 species
CGGGAAACCGGAGCUAAUACCGGAUAAUAUAUUGAACCGCAUGGUUCAAUAGUGAAAGACGGUUUUGCUGUCACUUAUAGAUGGAUCCGCGCCGCAUUAGCUAGUUGGUAAGGUAACGGCUUACCAAGGCAGCGAUGCGUAGCCGACCUGAGAGGGUGAUCGGCCACACUGGAACUGAGACACGGUCCAGACUCCUACGGGAGGCAGCAGG